rnacentral:rRNA from 1 species
AGAACGAACGCUGGCGGCAUGCCUAACACAUGCAAGUCGAACGCUUCCGGGGCUUCGGUCGCGGAGGAGUGGCGCACGGGUGAGUAGCGCGUGGGAACCUGCCCUGUUGUGGGGGAUAACCGAGGGAAACUUCGGCUAAUACCGCAUACGCCCCGGGACUUGGUCUUCGGAUUAGGUCUGGGGGGAAAGAUUGAUCGCAGCAGGAGGGGCCCGCGUCGGAUUAGCUGGUUGGUGGGGUAACGGCUCACCAAGGCGAUGAUCCGUAGCUGGUCUGAGAGGAUGAUCAGCCACACUGGGACUGAGACACGGCCCAGACUCCUACGGGAGGCAGCAGUGGGGAAUAUUGGACAAUGGGGGCAACCCUGAUCCAGCAAUGCCGCGUGAGUGAUGAAGGCCUUAGGGUUGUAAAGCUCUUUCGCCCGCGACGAUGAUGACGGUAGCGGAGAAGAAGCCCGGCUAACUCGCGCCAGCAGCCGCGGU